rnacentral:rRNA from 1 species
AUUGAACGCUGGCGGCAUGCCUUACACAUGCAAGUCGAACGGCAGCACGGACUUCGGUCUGGUGGCGAGUGGCGAACGGGUGAGUAAUAUAUCGGAACAUACCCUAGAGUGGGGCAUAACGUAGCGAAAGUUACGCUAAUACCGCAUACGAACUAAGGUUGAAAGCGGGGGAUCUUCGGACCUCGUGCUCAUGGAGUGGCCGAUAUCUGAUUAGCUAGUUGGUGAGGUAAAGGCUCACCAAGGCGACGAUCAGUAGCUGGUUUGAGAGAACGACCAGCCACACUGGAACUGAGACACGGUCCAGACUCCUACGGGAGGCAGCAGUGGGGAAUUUUGGACAAUGGGCGCAAGCCUGAUCCAGCAAUGCCGCGUGAGUGAAGAAGGCCUC